rnacentral:misc_RNA from 1 species
GGGCUUUCUUCACCAAAUGCAUACCAACUGAACAACUGAAGUGAUUCUUUGGCAUCCAAAGUCUUUAGCUUAUACAUCCUACAUCUACAUGCUUCAGUAGAACUUAAUAAAUGACCAUUUCUCGUUGUUAUGAUAAUUUUGCUACCUGGAGAAAACCAAUCCCUCAUACCGAGUACCGCAUUUAGCUGAUCUAUGUUGUCUAUAUCAUCAAGAACAAGAAGAACUCUUUUGCAGCUGAUAGCUUCUUGAAUCUUGACGGACCCUUCAUUAACAUUAUAUAUCUUUUCGACAUCCUUCCCAAGAAUAUUGGAAAGAAGUUGUCUUUGUAAACGACCUAAACCGUCAUACUUUUCUAAAACUUUUCCCACAUCAGCAAGGAAGCUACUGCCUUCAAAUCUAUGAAAAUUCAGGUUAUAAGCUGUUUUAGCUAUCGUAGUUUUGCCAAUACCUCCCAUACCAUGUAUAGCAAGAAUAUCGACAUAAUUGUAUCCCUCUUUUAACCACAAAUCAAUUUCUUUGACUCGACAAUCUAUUCCGACUGGACGAGGAGCAACACUUAAUACAGUACGUCUCAAUUUUCCUACAACCACCUUAACAAUCUCUUGUAUAAACCUUGAUUCAGAUCCAUCAGCUUGGUUC